AGUGACGUCAAGUCAUCAUGGCCCUUACUGUCCAGGGCGACACACGUGCUACAAUGGCCGGCACAACGGGAAGCGAGUUCGCGAGGACGAGCGGAUCCCUCAAAGCCGGUCGCAGUUCGGAUUGAAGUCUGCAACUCGACUUCAUGAAGUUGGAAUCGCUAGUAAUCGCGGAUCAGCAUGCCGCGGUGAAUACGUUCCCACGGCCUU
rnacentral:rRNA from 1 species